UUGACGGAGAGUUUGAUCCUGGCUCAGGACGAACGCUGGCGGCGUGCUUAACACAUGCAAGUCGAACGAGGUCCAUGCAGUAGCAAUACUGCGGAAGACCUAGUGGCGAACGGGUGAGUAUCACGUGAGAAACCAACCCCGGUCUUUGGGAUAACAGUUGGAAACGACUGCUAAUACCGAAUGCCGUCGUUGCCUCGCAUGGGGCGAUGACGAAAGGGCUACCGGAUCGGGACGGUCUCGCGGCCUAUCAGCUUGUUGGGGAGGUAACGGCUCACCAAGGCUUCGACGGGUAGCUGGUCUGAGAGG
rnacentral:rRNA from 1 species